rnacentral:rRNA from 1 species
UACGGGGGGGGGCAAGCGUUGUUCGGAAUUACUGGGCGUAAAGGGCGCGUAGGCGGCCUUCUAAGUCGGACGUGAAAUCCCUCGGCUUAACCGAAGAACUGCGUCCGAGACUGAAAGGCUUGAAUCCGGGAGAGGGAUGUGGAAUUCCAGGUGUAGCGGUGAAAUGCGUAGAUAUCUGGAGGAACACCGGUGGCGAAGGCGGCAUCCUGGACCGGCAUUGACGCUGAGGCGCGAAAGCUAGGGGAGCAAACGGG